AGAAAGGAACGCGGCGGAAGAUGAGGAAGAAGGACGCCGCAGAGGGCGGCGGAGAUGGUCUGGUGACGUGGGAGAGGUUUCUCCCGAAGAUUCCACCAGAAAGAUUAAUCUCUGCUCUCCUCAGGAAAUGCAGUUACAGAGUUGCUGCUGUACCUGAUGGCUUGAAAGCUUGGGAGAUGCUCUCCUAACCCUUAUAUCAUGGAGCAUGAAAACGUUGAUCUGAUAAUUGACAGAGAGCUCAUGUUCAAGACCAGAGAUGCAAGGUGAGAGCGCAGACGUUGUGGAGGAUAUACCAAGAGUCUCAUCGAAAGAGGCCAUUGACUUCAUGGGAGAGCGUCUUUUAGAAGAAGCGGACAAAGCCACAGAGAAGAAAGCGUUGCUAAAUACGAUUGUGAGAACCAACAACCCUCCUCUCUUCAUCCUUCUAGUGCCCCUCGGCUUUCACACGGUACGUGUUCACAAGCCGUUGCAGACACAAUGUUCUGUCUCUCCCUUGGUUACCGAUCAAAGAAAGAACGUUGGGGCAAGUGGAGAUGAUAACAACACUAUGCUAAUCCACCAGUACAAUGUAUCUGAACUGCCUCCAAGAAACGAGGCCAGCUUUUAGAAUAGUUCUGACUCACCUGGUCCGCAUUUUAGUUGAAACCAGAUGAAUUCAAUGGAUAUAGAGGAGAGAAGAACAUAGUGGAACAGGCAAUCACUGCAGUACCAGCUACGUUGAUUAUAAUCAUCAACAGGAUACUCGUCCUCUGUUGGGAAACUUGAGCAAUCUCUGCAACGGGAAGCUGCUUUAAACAAAUUCAGGAUGAAGAGCAAGGAGAGGUGCUUUGAGAAAAAGGUCCGUUAUGAGAGCCGGAAGAAAUUAGCAGAGCAACUGCCUCGCAUCAAAGGACAAUUCGUUCGUCAAGUCCAGUCUACUGAGUUGAGUUGUUGAGUUGUUGAGUUUAGAGAUAAUGUAAAACAUAUGAUGGAUUGCAGUUUCUGAAUCUUGCAAGAGGGUUAUUAUACGA